ensembl:snRNA U6atac minor spliceosomal RNA
AUGGACGGAAGAGGCCCUUGUGGCCUUCAACACACAUAUGGUUAAGGCAUUGCCACCUACUUAGUGACAUCUCUAACCAACUGUGUUU